rnacentral:rRNA from 1 species
UACGUAGGGUGCAAGCGUUGUCCGGAAUUAUUGGGCGUAAAGAGCUCGUAGGCGGUCUGUCGCGUCUGCUGUGAAAACUCAGGGCUUAACCCUGAGCUUGCAGUGGGUACGGGCAGACUAGAGUGCGGUAGGGGAGACUGGAACUCCUGGUGUAGCGGUGAAAUGCGUAGAUAUUGGAAAGACCACCGAUGGCGAAGGCACUCUACUGGGCCAUUACUGACACUGAGAGACGAAAGCUAGGGGAGCAAAUGGG